UAGCAAAAAAAUCUGGUUGAA
rnacentral:piRNA from 1 species